rnacentral:rRNA from 1 species
GUAAAGGGAGCGUAGGCGGAUAUUUAAAGUGGGAUGUGAAAUCCCCGGGCUUAACCCGGGGGUUGCAUUCCAAACUGGAUAUCUAGAGUGCAGGAGAGGAAAAGUGGAUUUCCUAGUGUAGCGGUGAAAUGGGUAGAGAUUAGGAAGAAACACCAGUGGCGAAGGCGACUUUCUGGACUGUAACUGACGCUGAGGCUCGAAAGCGUGGGGGAGCAAACAGGAUUAGAUACCCUGGGAGUCCACGCCGUAAACGAUGAAUACUAGGUGUAGGGGUUGUCAUGACCUCUGUGCCGCCGCUAACGCAUUAAGUAUUCCGCCUGGGGAGUACGGUCGCAAGAUUAAAACUCAAAGGAAUUGACGGGGGCCCGCACAAGUAGCGGAGCAUGUGGUUUAAUUCGAAGCAACGCGAAGAACCUUACCUAGACUUGACAUCUCCUGAAUUACCCGUAACUGGGGAAGUCGCUUCGGCGACAGGAAGACAGGUGGUGCAUGGUUGUCGUCAGCUCGUGUCGUGAGAUGUUGGGUUAAGUCCCGCAACGAGCGCAACCCUUAUUGUUAGUUGCUACCAUUUAGUUGAGCACUCUAGCGAGACUGCCGUGGUUAACGCGGAGGAAGGUGGGGAUGACGUCAAAUCAUCAUGCCCCUUAUGUCUAGGGCUACACACGUGCUACAAUGGCAAGUACAAAUAGAUGCAAUACCGUGAGGUGGAGCCAAACUAUAAAACUUGUCUCAGUUCGGAUUGUAGGCUGAAACUCGCCUACAUGAAGCUGGAGUUACUAGUAAUCGCGAAUCAGAAUGUCGCGGUGAAUACGUUCCCGGGCCUUGUACACACCGCCCGUCACACCAUGAGAGUUGGCAAUACCCGAAGUCCGUGAGGUAACCUUUUAGGAGCCAGCGGCCGAAGGUAGGGUCAGCGAUUGGGGUG